rnacentral:rRNA from 1 species
AAUGAACGCUGGCGGCGUGCUUAACACAUGCAAGUCGUGCGCGAAGGUGGCUUCGGCUGCCGGAGAGCGGCGAACGGGUGAGUAACACGUGGGUGAUCUGCCUGGGGGCGGGGGAUAACCUGGGGAAACUCGGGCUAAUACCGCAUACGUUGGCGGGUUUACGGACUCGUCAAGAAAGCUGGCCUCUGCUUGCAAGCUAGCGCUCCCAGAGGAGCCCGCGGCUGAUAGCUAGUUGGUGAGGUAAUGGCUCACCAAGGCGACGAUCAGUAGCCGGCCUGAGAGGGUGAUCGGCCACACUGGGACUGAGACACGGCCCAGACUCCUACGGGAGGCAGCAGUGGGGAAUAUUGGACAAUGGGCGCAAGCCUGAUCCAGCAACGCCGCGUGGAGGAUGAAGGUCUUCGGA